GAUGAACGCUGGCGGCGUGCCUAAUACAUGCGAGUCGAGCGAACAGACGAGGAGCUUGCUCCUCUGACGUUAGCGGCGGACGGGUGAGUAACACGUGGAUAACCUACCUAUAAGACUGGGAUAACUUCGGGAAACCGGAGCUAAUACCGGAUAAUAUAUUGAACCGCAUGGUUCGAUAGUGAAAGACGGUUUUGCUGUCACUUAUAGAUGGAUCCGCGCCGCAUUAGCUAGUUGGUAAGGUAACGGCUUACCAAGGCAACGAUGCGUAGCCGACCUGAGAGGGUAAUCGGCCACACUGGAACUGAGACACGGUCCAGACUCCUACGGGAGGCAGCAGUAGGGAAUCUUACGCAAUGGGCGAAAGCCUGACGGAGCAACGCCGCGUGAGUGAUGAAGGUCUUCGGAUCGUAAAACUCUGUUAUUAGGGAAGAACAAAUGUGUAAGUAACUAUGCACGUCUUGACGGUACCUAAUCAGAAAGCCACGGCUAACUACGUG
rnacentral:rRNA from 1 species